rnacentral:rRNA from 1 species
AAAGAGAAGCAAAGCCGCGAGGUAGAGCAAAUCUCAAAAAAACAUCUCAGUUCAGACUGCAGGCUGCAACUCGCCUGCACGAAGUCGGAAUUGCUAGUAAUCGUAGGUCAGCAUACUACGGUGAAUACGUUCCCGGGCCUUGUACACACCGCCCGUCAAACCAUGAGAGUUGGCAACACCCGAAGUCGGUAGUCUAACCGCAAGGAGGACGCCGCCGAAGGUGGGGUUGAUGAUUAGGGUUAAGUCGUAACAAGGUAAC